CUGGUAUUCACAUUCAUCUCACAUGGCUCUGUCACACAUCAUGUAGUCACCAGAGAGGAUCCCAGUCAGCUGGAAACAUAACCUGUCAGAGGUCGGGUUGUGGAGGCAGCAGUCUAAGGAACAAUGGGAAACAUACAUGUAAUUGGUGAUGCCAUCCGUGAUCAAGAUGCCACCAGCGCAUAUAAGAAGGCGAUGGCGGAAUGGAAAUCAUGCGUUAAGAAAAAGUGCAGGAAUGAUUUCCAGCUCCUCCUUGGGAAUCCUGAGGCAUUCCCAGGCCAGGUGGGAUACAUAAUCUCUGAUCUACCCAGAGGCCUCCUCCAAGUUGGACGUGCAUUGAACAACCACAAAGGGAGUCAUCCAGGAGGCCUCCUUAUCAAAUACCAGAACCACCUCAGCAACGGCUCUGCUCCGAGCUCCCUCCUGAUGUCCAAGCUCCUGACCCUAUCUGCAAGGCUGAGCCCAGAAACCAUGCAGAGGAGACUCAUUUCAACUGCUUGUAUUUGAGAUAUCGUUCUUUCAGUCAGAACCAAAAGCUUGAGACCAUAGGUGAGGGUUGACCAUAGAUUGAAUAGUAAAUCAAAAGCUUUACCUUCCAACUCAGCUCCCUCUUCACCACAAUGUUCUGGUAAAACACCUGCAUGACUGCUGCUGCUGCUGCAACACCAAUCUGCCUGUCAUAGGACUAAGGUCUACAAACAACAAGGUGGUUCCUGGCCUUGGUUCUUGGUCUUACAGUCAGUGCUGUUACAGAACAUAUAUUUAUUUUAAGCCAUGUAUCUCUGUACUGUAAAUACAAGUCAUUACUUUGAAAGACGUUUUAUCUGUCAUUAAAAUAAUGGUUGUUGCUGUUGUAAAGUCACCUCACAGGUGUAUGAUUUUACUCUGCUUCAUGGAGGCUCAGACUCAUCUUUGUGGGAACUCAAACCCUGCUUUUACCCAGUGUGUUAAAAUACAAAAGCAUUUCAUGUAUAGUCAACCAAAAUGGUGUUUGUACCCAAUAUAUUUAUGCACAUCCAGGCACCUUGUGUAAAUAAAUAAAUGAAUAAACUACAGUGAGCAGUUCACAGCCCUUUGUUGUGACUGGGCACCUUGUGAAUAAUAAAAUU